GAGCAGGGUCAUGAGUGACCUCUGCUCACAGAGAAGAAAGCCCUAGGAGAAUUUUUAAGCCUGAUUACCCAGGAUUACUCAAUCCAUGGAAGCACCCUGGGUUCUACAAAGUGAAGACACUGGAACCUCCUUUUUACAGGGGGACUUCCUGAAUAUGACUUCCAGAGCAGAAAUUCAUCUUCUCCAGAUAGUAAUGCCACGUUUCUGCCUUGAGCAUAUAUAUAUAAAUAGAAUUGUACAAAUAUAA